rnacentral:rRNA from 1 species
AGGACGAACGCCCCUGGCGGCGUGCUUAACACAUGCAAGUCGAGCGGAAAGGCCCUUCGGGGUACUCGAGCGGCGAACGGGUGAGUAACACGUGAGCAACCUGCCCUUGGCUUUGGGAUAACCCUCGGAAACGGGGGCUAAUACCGAAUAUCCAUCUUUCAUCGCAUGGUGGUUGGUGGAAAGUUUUUCGGCCAGGGAUGGGCUCGCGGCCUAUCAGCUUGUUGGUGGGGUGAUGGCCUACCAAGGCGGUGACGGGUA